rnacentral:rRNA from 1 species
GUCGAGAAUUUUUCACAAUGGGCGCAAGCCUGAUGGAGCGACGCCGCGUGGGGGAUGAAUGGCUUCGGCCCGUAAACCCCUGUCAUUUGCGAGCAAACGUUGUUAUUUAAAAGAUGACAAUUUGAUAGUAGCGAAAGAGGAAGGGACGGCUAACUCUGUGCCAGCAGCCGCGGUAAUACAGAGGUCCCAAGCGUUGUUCGGAUUCACUGGGCGUAAAGGGUGCGUAGGUGGCGGGGUAAGUCGGAUGUGAAAGCUCGGAGCUCAACUCCGAAAUGGCAUUGGAAACUACCUUGCUCGAGGGUUGGAGGGGGGACUGGAAUGCUUGGUGUAGCAGUGAAAUGCGUAGAUAUCAAGCGGAACACCAGUGGCGAAGGCGAGUCCCUGGACAACUCCUGACACUGAGGCACGAAAGCUAGGGGAGCAAACAGGAUUAGAUACCCUUGUAGUCC